ensembl:lncRNA
CUUUCUCCCUGUACACAGGACCAAAAGUGCAGGCACAUCAUUUAUUGAUAAGACAAAAAGAAUGUAAUGAAAUUAUCAAUGUUCUUGAAUUAAUUAUGAACAUGAUUAAGAAAGCUAAAAUCUCAGGAGCCAGGAUCUCAUUACCCAUUCAGUCUUAGGGAUUGCUUUCAUUCAGCAAGGCAAAAAGGCUUUGAGCAGUCCCACAAUUGCCUUAGUCUCAUUUAUUUGUGGUAGUAUUAAGGUUUAUUUGUUUUCUGGUUUGCACUUCUUCUGAAAUUAUUUCUUAGUUUAUUCAUUUAACAAAAUGUUCCUUCCUAUGUCAAAGAAGAAAGUGCCUACAAGGCCUAGAUAGGUUCUUCAGUCUGCAGACCUCCCUUUGAGAACAUUUCUUCCAACUCACAUUGCUGGAGCUCCUAAAUAUCUUUCAAGGGCUCCUCCAUUCUUUGAAGCUCAAGAAAUAUAUCACAGUUGUUUUUUUGGGGGGAUCAGGCUCUUCUCUGCAUGAUUUCUGCAUCAGCCAUUCCGGAAAUUUGAAGAUGAGUUGUCUGCAAAAAGAAAAAGAAACAAAACUUCUCUUGUGAAACUUUCUCACCUUUCUGACUGGAUGAAGACAGGUCCUGAAACAUGCCGGGCUGAGAAGAGCUACUCAAAAAAAUAAUUGAACAUGCUGGCCUAUUUACUUACUAUUUACUUUACUUCUUACUUAAGAAGUUCCAAGAAUAUCACUGCUAAGAGUCCUGGCUCAAGCCCUGCAAUGAUGUCAACAACAAAUAACAUUUCCAGUCCAGGAUGAACAUAUGCAUCCAUUUUUUCAGCAAGGAGUAGAAGUUUCAGGAGGUUGUCAAUUUGAAGAUAUUCUCAUCUUAAUCAUUACAUCAUUUGCUUUGUUCAUUAUUAUCCAGGUGACACCAAGGAAUUGCAUAAAUAAGGAAUACUGCCACGUACAUCAUGUUCACCACAGAGGAAGAAGCUGUAAGGAGCAACACCUGGAUUGCCAGCCCUUCCUACUAUUCCCUCAGGCCAUGCACACUGGCCUCUAGCCAGCAGCUGCCUCCCAGGAUCACACUGCCUGCAUGUCUGUGUGCAGCAGCACAACCCUUCUCUAUAACUGUGUCAUCUGGGCCACUUCCAUCAAUUCUCCACUGAUCUGCCAGAUCAAGAGCUGUCUCUGGAACAAAGAACAUGCAGGGAAAAUGGGUUUGGGGUGCCUCUCUGAUUUCUGUGUGUGC